rnacentral:rRNA from 1 species
UGGCGAACGGGUGAGUAACACGUGAGCAACCUGCCCUUGGCUCUGGGACAACCACUGGAAACGGUGGCUAAUACCGGAUACGACCCAUGCAGGCAUCUGUUGUGGGUGGAAAGAUUUUUCGGCUGGGGAUGGGCUCGCGGCCUAUCAGCUUGUUGGUGGGGUGAUGGCCUACCAAGGCGACGACGGGUAGCCGGCCUGAGAGGGCGACCGGCCACACUGGGACUGAGACACGGCCCAGACUCCUACGGGAGGCAGCAGUGGGGAAUAUUGCACAAUGGGCGCAAGCCUGAUGCAGCGACGCCGCGUGAGGGAUGACGGCCUUCGGGUUGUAAACCUCUUUCAGCAGGGAAGAAGCGAAAGUGACGGUACCUGCAGAAGAAGCACCGGCUAACUACGUGCCAGCAGCCGCGGUAAUACGUAGGGUGCAAGCGUUGUCCGGAAUUAUUGGGCGUAAAGAGCUCGUAGGCGGUGUGUCGCGUCUGCUGUGAAAACUCAGGGCUCAACUCUGAGCUUGCAGUGGGUACGGGCACACUUGAGUGCUGUAGGGGAGACUGGAAUUCCUGGUGUAGCGGUGAAAUGCGCAGAUAUCAGGAGGAACACCGGUGGCGAAGGCGGGUCUCUGGGCAGUUACUGACGCUGAGGAGCGAAAGCAUGGGGAGCGAACAGGAUUAGAUACCCUGGUAGUCCAUGCCGUAAACGUUGGGCGCUAGGUGUGGGGUCCAUUCCACGGAUUCCGUGCCGCAGCUAACGCAUUAAGCGCCCCGCCUGGGGAGUACGGCCGCAAGGCUAAAACUCAAAGGAAUUGACGGGGGCCCGCACAAGCGGCGGAGCAUGCGGAUUAAUUCGAUGCAACGCGAAGAACCUUACCAAGGCUUGACAUGCGCGGUGGAAUCCCAGAGAUGGGGUGUCAUUUAGUUGGUCGCGUACAGGUGGUGCAUGGUUGUCGUCAGCUCGUGUCGUGAGAUGUUGGGUUAAGUCCCGCAACGAGCGCAACCCUCGUUCCAUGUUGCCAGCAAUUCGGUUGGGGACUCAUGGGAGACUGUCGGGGUCAACUCGGAGGAAGGUGGGGAUGACGUCAAAUCAUCAUGCCCCUUAUGUUCUUGGGCUUCACGCAUGCUACAAUGGCCAGUACAGAGGGCUGCGAUACCGUGAGGUGGAGCGAAUCCCAAAAAGCUGGUCUCAGUUCGGAUCGGGGUCUGCAACUCGACCCCGUGAAGUCGGAGUCGCUAGUAAUCGCAGAUCAGCAACGCUGCGGUGAAUACGUUCCCGGGCCUUGUACACACCGCCCGUCACGUCAUGAAAGUCGGUA